rnacentral:rRNA from 1 species
CCCUUAGAUGUUCUGGGCCGCACGCGCGCUACACUGAAGGGAUCAGCGUGUUUUCCCUUCCCGAGAGGGACGGGUAACCCGCUGAACCCCCUUCGUGGUAGGGAUCGGAGCUUGCAAUUGUUCUCCGUGAACCAGGAAUUCCCAGUAAGCGCAAGUCAUAAGCUUGCGUUGAUUACGUCCCUGCCCUUUGUACACACCGCCCGUCGCUACUACCGAUUGAACGUUUUAGUAAGGUAUUUGGACUGGGCCUUGGGAGGUUUCGGCCUCCCUUGUUGCUCGGAAAGACUCCCAAACUUGAGCGUUUAGAGGAAGUAAAAGUCGUAACA